CCAAUAUCGCUGGUAGUUUUCGAAACGCGGAUAAUUCUUUGAACAUGACACGCUAAUGCCUUGUGGGUGUGUGACUGUGUGUGUAUAAUGAUUAAUGGCAGAUUUUGAUUUGUAUGCGUUAAAGCUUUUCAAUCACGGAAAAAAAUUGGUAGUACGUGCUGCAAAAGCAGAUGUUUGCAGAGGAGAGAGGAUAGUUUAUGUUCCAGGUAAUGGACGAUUUUCGUGCAGUGUUGGGGAUGCUGUGCUCGAUGAUCUGAUGUCAGCAAGAUGGCAACAGAAAGACCCUAAGCCAUAUGUCUUGCCACAAAAUACUUCAGUAGGUCAUAUGUACCAUUAGUGAAACAAAGGGGCCCAUUAUUCUCUUUGGUCACUUCACUUCACUCAGUAGAAAUGACUGCAUCCACUGGGUUUGUCAGUAAUGUGUGAAGGUGUGUCGUGGCAUGAUGUGUCGUCUGCUGCCAUAACUGCCAUCAGUAUGGCAGCACGCUGCUACUGCUGCUGUGGUGGCUGAUUACUGCUUGUGCCAUCCCAUAGAGAGGAGUUGAACUGUGACCUCGUGGAUGAAAGCCGAAUCUGCCUUAUAGUGCAGCUGAGUUGAUUACUGCCAACCUGCUCUGAACUGUGACACCGCGAAUGACAGCCGAAUCUGCAUUGUAUUGUAGCUCGAUGAAUGACUCACAACCUGUACUCAACCGCAACUCAGUGAACGACAUCUGAAUCUGCGCUAAACUGUCGCUCAACAAAUAACUGCCAAGUUUCAUUGAACUGUGGUAAACAUAGGCUAUGCUGUCUGCCUUUGUAGUGAAUAACUAGCUUGUAUAAACUUUCAUUAAUUAGCUUAAACCACUAACAUUGGCACUAAAUGGUUCUCAUGCAAUUUGUAUUAUAUAUGCCAAUUUAUAAGCAGUUGUUGAAUAUUCUUGUUUCGCAUUAGUCUUGAUGUUUAUUUGCUUAGCAACCACUGUAUUCUUUGUGCUCCUAAGCAGCAUUUAUUCUUAAUUUUUCUUGUAAAUUGGUAAUAAAUUGUUUGGUUGUUCUCUCUU